rnacentral:rRNA from 1 species
UGUAAUCACGUUCUAACCUUUUGACCGUCAACUUGAAUGGCCGUACGCAAGCUUUCGACACCCAAGUAACUUUCAGAGGUCAGACGGAUAGCCUAAAAGGUAUUCGUUGCAAUCCUCGGUCCUAAUCACCACAUUUACCAAAGGCUAUAACACUUCAACCGAGGUCGAAGCUACAUUCCUCCGGUCAUUUUAUGGCGAUCAAAGCCGACGUUGACCUACCAUACGAAAAAGUACACCUAAGAAAUACGCAUAUUGCAAACAAUGAAGAUCUCAUACGCCCACAAAUGCA